CCACAUGCAAAAUAUACAACACUUAUAACAGGGAUAGAGUUACCCUCCUGCUUCGCGACCGGAGAAGAACGGCCUUCAAUCGCCAAAUAAAACCCUAGGUCCAACCACCGGGAACCGUAGGAUCUGGAAACUUACCGGAACAGGGUCAGAGACGUCGGAAAAUCGCCCAAAACAUCCACCGAAUGAGGAUCGAGCCAUCGGAUAGCAGUAAAACCCUAGGUUCAACCACCAGAAACCCUAGAAUCUGGAAAGUCACCGGAAAAAAUUCAGGGAUGUCGGAAAAUCACCCAAAACAACCACUGAGUGAAGAUCGAAACAUUAAACAUCCGCAAAAGUUCCGAUUAUCCGCUCAAUAUACAUCGUUCUCUCGGUAAACAAAAUU
rnacentral:lncRNA from 1 species